rnacentral:rRNA from 1 species
AGUGAACGCUGGCGGUAGGCCUAACACAUGCAAGUCGAACGGCAGCACAGUAAGAGCUUGCUCUUACGGGUGGCGAGUGGCGGACGGGUGAGGAAUACAUCGGAAUCUACUUUUUCGUGGGGGAUAACGUAGGGAAACUUACGCUAAUACCGCAUACGACCUACGGGUGAAAGCAGGGGAUCUUCGGACCUUGCGCGACUGAAUGAGCCGAUGUCGGAUUAGCUAGUUGGCGGGGUAAAGGCCCACCAAGGCGACGAUCCGUAGCUGGUCUGAGAGGAUGAUCAGCCACACUGGAACUGAGACACGGUCCAGACUCCUACGGGAGGCAGCAGUGGGGAAUAUUGGACAAUGGGCGCAAGCCUGAUCCAGCCAUACCGCGUGGGUGAAGAAGGCCUUCGGGUUGUAAAGCGCUUUUGUUGGGAAAGAAAAGCAGCAGGUUAAUACCCCGCUGUUCUGACGGUACCCAAAGAAUAAGCACCGGCUAACUUCGUG